CCUUCAUGAAGCUGGAAUUGCUAGUAAUGGCAGGUCAGCAUACUGCCGUGAAUACGUUCCCGGGCCUUGUACACACCGCCCGUCACACCAUGAGAGUUGGGAAUACCCGAAGCCUGUGAGCAAACUUUUAGAGGCAGCAGUCGAAGGUAGAAUCAAUGAUUGGGGUGAAGUCGUAACAAGGUAAC
rnacentral:rRNA from 1 species